rnacentral:piRNA from 1 species
UGGUGUCCUCGCCCAUAAAAUGGGAAACGU